rnacentral:rRNA from 1 species
CCUACGGGAGGCAGCAGUGGGGAAUAUUGCACAAUGGGGGGAACCCUGAUGCAGCAACGCCGCGUGGGUGAUGAAGUAUUUCGGUAUGUAAAGCCCUGUCAGCAGGGAAGAAAAUGACGGUACCUGACCAAGAAGCCCCGGCUAACUACGUGCCAGCAGCCGCGGUAAUACGGAGGGGGCAAGCGUUAUCCGGAUUUACUGGGGGUAAAGGGCGCGUAGACGGGAAGGCAAGUCUGGAGUGAAAGCCCGUGGCUCAACCACGGGACUGCUUUGGAAACUGUGUUGCUGGAGUGCGGGAGGGGUAAGCGGAAUUCCUAGUGUAGCGGUGAAAUGCGUAGAGAUUAGGAGGAACACCGGUGGCGAAGGCGGCUUACUGGACUGUAACUGACGUUGAGGCUCGAAGGCGUGGGGAGCAAACAGGAUUAGAUACCCUUGUAGUC